AACGAACGCUGGCGGCAUGCCUAACACAUGCAAGUCGAACGAAAACUUCGGGUCUUGUGGCGCACGGGUGCGUAACGCGUGGGAACCUGCCCUUAGGUUCGGAAUAACUCCCCGACAGGGGUGCUAAUACCGGAUAAUGUCUUCGGACCAAAGAUUUAUCGCCUUUGGAUGGGCCCGCGUUGGAUUAGCUAGUUGGUAGGGUAAAAGCCUACCAAGGCGACGAUCCAUAGCUGGUCUGAGAGGAUGAUCAGCCACACUGGGACUGAGACACGGCCCAGACUCCUACGGGAGGCAGCAGUGGGGAAUAGUGGACCAUGGGCGAAAGCCUGAUCCAGCAAUGCCGCGUGAGUGAUGAAGGCCUUAGGGUUGUAAAGCUCUUUUACCCGGGAUGAUAAUGACAGUACCGGGAGAAUAAGCUCCGGCUAACUCCGUG
rnacentral:rRNA from 1 species